GGUUGCGAUCAUACCAGCACUAAUGCACCGGAUCCCAUCAGAACUCCGCAGUUAAGCUUGCUUGGGCGAGAGUAGUACUAGGAUGGGUGACCCCCUGCGAAGUCCUCGUGUUGCAACCC
rnacentral:rRNA from 1 species